CCUACGGGGGGCUGUAGUGGGGAAUAUUGGACAAUGGGGGCAACCCUGAUCCAGCCAUGCCGCGUGUGUGAAGAAGGCCCUCGGGUUGUAAAGCACUUUCAGUGAGGAAGAACGCCUGGUGGUUAAUACCCAUCAGGAAAGACAUCACUCACAGAAGAAGCACCGGCUAACUCCGUGCCAGCAGCCGCGGUAAUACGGAGGGUGCGAGCGUUAAUCGGAAUUACUGGGCGUAAAGCGCGCGUAGGUGGCUUGAUAAGCCGGUUGUGAAAGCCCCGGGCUCAACCUGGGAACGGCAUCCGGAACUGUCAAGCUAGAGUGCAGGAGAGGAAGGUAGAAUUCCCGGUGUAGCGGUGAAAUGCGUAGAGAUCGGGAGGAAUACCAGUGGCGAAGGCGGCCUUCUGGACUGACACUGACACUGAGGUGCGAAAGCGUGGGUAGCAAACAGGAUUAGAUACCCCUGUAGUC
rnacentral:rRNA from 1 species